CUUGAUGGUUUAUAGAGUAAAAACUUGCUUUUGAUCUGAUGAGUUUUGUUCCUGUAAAUGCUGCUCUUCUCUGUGUCUAGCACCGAAGAAUUAUUUCUCCUUUCACUAGCUUUAUUUUGAUUAUUCUUCUUUCUUAUGUAGCAGAUUUACUGAAAUGCAUCAUGUCUUCUUGUGCAGAGUCAUUCUGAGAGAGUUCUGCAGUAAAUGAGUGAAGAAACUGCUGGCACAGGACUGCUGAAAUCCAGAGAAACAAGAGUCACCGACACUUUCUGUACCGUCGUCACCACAGUCUGUAUCCACAACAUCAAACAAAAGUUGGCCUUUAUUUCUCUGUUGCUAAUGUCUAUGGAGAGGCUCUCAUGGACUUCAAAGGAAUUAGGAUUUGUGCCUUCUGAAAGUGGUAAGUGUAUAGAUCUGUGGAGGAACUAUGCUGCAUUCUAAUUAUUUGCUUUGAUUUGUAUUUAUAUACAUGUUUGUUAUGCUGGAAGGUCACUGUAGGCCCACUGUGACUCCCACCUGUAAAAAACCUUCCAGCAAAAACCACCCAGAGCACCAGCUGGUUGAAAAGACCUCAUCUCCAUCUCCCUGCCCACCUCUGCUAAUGUGAACACUGAAAUAUUCAGUAACAGACUUGAAGUAAAACUUGAAAAAAUG
rnacentral:lncRNA from 1 species